rnacentral:rRNA from 1 species
AACGAACGCUGGCGGCAUGCCUAAUACAUGCAAGUCGAACGAGAUCUUCGGAUCUAGUGGCGCACGGGUGCGUAACGCGUGGGAAUCUGCCCUUGGGUUCGGAAUAACAGCGGGAAACUGCUGCUAAUACCGGAAGAUGACGUAAGUCCAAGGAUUUAUCGCCCAGGGAUGAGCCCGCGUAGGAUUAGGUAGUUGGUGGGGUAAAGGCCUACCAAGCCUACGAUCCUUAGCUGGUCUGAGAGGAUGAUCAGCCACACUGGGACUGAGACACGGCCCAGACUCCUACGGGAGGCAGCAGUAGGGAAUAUUGGACAAUGGGGGCAACCCUGAUCCAGCAAUGCCGCGUGAGUGAUGAAGGCCUUAGGGUUGUAAAGCUCUUUUACCCGGGAUGAUAAUGACAGUACCGGGAGAAUAAGCCCCGGCUAACUCCGUGCCAGCCGCCGCAGUAA